UGGGGGAGGCCGAGUCCUGGGCUGUGUCCUGGUGCCCUGUGCUCUGGGGCCUGCGCUGUUGGAUUUGCGCUCCGGCUGCGCAGCCGCCU
rnacentral:pre_miRNA from 1 species